rnacentral:misc_RNA from 1 species
AUAUUGGUGGACUGUCACCAAGGAUUCUAUUCCUUGAUAGUCACUGUGAUCACAGAUUCACAGUUCAGCAGUUCAGUUGAUUGUCAGAAGUGUGGUUGGGUAUCGGCGGCACUUCCUGCUGAAUAAUGAUGUGUUUUGGUUUGGAUUUUGUCUGGAUCUGUAACCGAAAUUGAAUACUUUUUUUUUUAUACUUUGUUCUCUUAUUUUCCAAAAAAAUAUAUAUUAUUUCUUUAUUUUCUUCUAUACUAGAUUUUUCAAAAACUAAUUACAUAACUAGACCGUGACUGUGAUACAAGGAUUCUAUACAUGUAUUCCUUGCUGUGAUAGCGACGCUGCGGCGGUGUUGCUACCUGUGUUAUUGUUGAUGUGGCAGUGAGGACACGUUGGAGCUGCUGCAGCUGCCUGGCUUUGAUGCAAGUGCUUAUCUCUGAUUCUUACCUUGCACAAAGACAUGAAUUAGAAAUAACGGCAGAAGUAUUUGGAAAAGAGGAAUGUGGAUGAGAAACGAGGGUGAAGAAAGACGGGAAUUAAGACAGUAAUGGGAGUGACAGGAGAUAAGGACAUUUAACUUAAAAAAAAAAAAAAAAAACAGGGAAUAUAUCCUUGUCCGAGUGUGUGAAAAUAAGAAAUAAAGCAUCGAAGGAUAUCAAGGAAGACAAAAGAGAGUGACGUAAGAAAGCAUUUUGAGGCAUAAAAGGAGCUAGGAAGAAGACAGGGCCAGCUGUGGUGCGAGUGGUUCUGUGUGGGCAAGUGUAUCCGUGGAGCAGCCCCCAUGCCGCCAGCACGCAGGAGGGAGAGGGACAGCGAGGCAGACCAUAUUCACCACAGGUCGCUGCUCCCUGACGGCGGCGGUGACGAAAUGAAUGGUGAGGGAGGUGGAAGUGGUCUGGCCAAGGACCGUGGUAGCAUUUUGUUGCUGCUGCUGCUGUAUGUGCUGCAAGGGAUCCCUCUAGGCCUGGCCGGCAGCAUCCCCAUGAUCCUACAGAACCGGCAAGUCACCUACAAAGACCAGGCCACCUUCAGCCUAUCUUUCUGGCCGUUCAGCAUCAAGCUGCUCUGGGCGCCACUGGUGGACUCAGUCUUCCUGGAAGGGAUGGGCCGCCGCAAGUCUUGGCUUGUACCUGCUCAAUACCUCAUAGGUGGCUUUAUGUUGGUGCUGUCAUCAUACAUUGAUGUUUUGUUAGGGGAAGGAGAGUCCCACACUCCCAACGUGGCUGUCAUCACCACUGUAUUCUUUAUGCUAAAUUUUUUGGCUGCCACACAAGACAUAGCUGUUGAUGGGUGGGCACUCACCAUGCUUUCAAGAGGAAAUGUUGGUUGGGCAUCAACAUGCAAUUCUGUCGGCCAGACAGCAGGUUACUUCUUGGGCUAUGUGGUCUUCCUGGCUCUGGAGUCGGAGGACUUCUGUGUGCACUACCUUGGACAGUCUGGGUCAUUAGUCACUCUCUCAGGGUUUUUGUAUUUUUGGGGUAUUGUGUUCUGGAUCACCACUACCAUUGUCUGGAUCCUAAAACAUGAGGAGCCUUCCUCUCCGAUGGAGAAGAAUGAGGGUCUGGUGGGAACCUAUAGUGUGCUGGGCCAAAUUCUGAAGAAGAAAACCAUGUGGGAUCUUAUUCUGGUGCUUCUUACUUGUAAGAUUGGCUUUGCUGCAUCUGAUGCCUUGACCGGUCUCAAGCUGAUAGAGAUCGGGGUGCCAAAGGACCGUUUGGCUUUGUUGUCCAUUCCCAUCAUGCCCGUGCAGAUCCUCCUGCCUCUGUACAUCUCCCGACACACAGCAGGGCCACGGCCCCUCGACCCCUUCAUACUGGGGUACCCACUCAGACUGGCAUUUGGUCUUGUGUUUGCUGGUGUUGUGUAUGUGACGCCUCUCUUCAGGCUGGCAGACGGAUCAUUCCCAUUCCAUUACUACGGACUCAUCAUUGCAAUCUAUCUCAUACACCAGGUAUUUGUCAAUUGCAUGUUUGUGGGAGUGAUGGCAUUCUUUGCGAGGAUCAGUGACAGUAGUGUGGGUGGCACUUACAUGACCCUGCUUAAUACUUUCACCAACCUUGGGGGCAACUGGCCGUCCUGGGUAGCCCUGCGGUUUGUGUCAGAACUCACCUGGACCAGCUGCCUUGGGGCCUCACAACCUGAGAUUGUGUCUUCCUGUGCAUCCGAUCAUGAAAAACAGCUGUGUGAAAAAGCUGGUGGGAGCUGUGCUACGUGGAUGGAUGGAUAUUACAUAGAGAGCGUGGUUUUGGUAAUAAUAGGAUUCUUGUGGAUGCGUUGGGGCUUACCAACCAUUAAAAGACUCCAAAGUCUGCCCGUCUCAGAUUGGGCAGUGUCUCAGCGCACAGACUGAUCAUAGCUUGUGGCUCAUGGACAUAAGUAGAGGCUGUAUGCAGUGUCAGAGUGCCAUACGUGUGGCUCUAUGCUAUGCUGGUGGUGUGGCACUGCAUACAGGGCAGACAACAAGGAUAUGCAUCGGUAUGUGAUGCAAGUCACAAGAAAGAAUGGUGGCACUCAGUAGAAGGAACUUCUCUCUGCUAAUUUAAGAAAUGGGAGAGUAAUGGCUUAACACUUAGCACAAAGACAAAGUACUGGCAAACCACUGUCACUCCAUGGACAAGGAUGUUAGUGAUGUAUGAACUACUACUUUAACAUGUACUUGUGCCAGCUUUCCUUUGUGACGCCAGUUGCACACUGAGCACAGCCAUGCAUUCCACCUGGGAUGUCAAAGAAGUGUUUGAAUCAUAAUGCUGUAUGUUAUACUUAUUUAUCAGAAAGUUGCUCAAGGAAAAGAUGUUUCUGAGACACAUGUUUAUAACUAGUAAUUCAUAUGCCUCUUCUAUUAGCUUGGAAUCAUCUUUAUGUCAUGUAGUACUGUUAUAUUUCAUUCCAUCUUUUGUUUAAGCAGAAGCAUAUUGCAGAUGUGAAAAGUUAUGCCUCCUGUCUAGGUUUCAAGCUCACAGUGCAGGAAGAUAAUCACAGAAACAUUAAGGUGUACAUACAUAUCAAGUCAGUAAAUUUUCUGUGACUUGGCAGAGGCAAAUACACAUUUUGGUUUAAUGCUGCUAACAUUAUCCUGACAUGUUGUCUUGUCCAUCUGCCUGGAGGUGAACUCUGAGAUGGUGUAUUGUGUGCAAAGAUCAAGUCAUCACUAAUGGAGGUGAUUUAUUAAAGAAUUACAAAAUCCUUAAA